rnacentral:rRNA from 1 species
GGAGGGUGCAAACGUUGCUCGGAAUUACUGGGCGUAAAGCGCGUGUAGGCGGUCUGUUUAGUCUCGUGUGAAAGCCCUGGGCUCAACCCAGGAAGUGCACGAGAAACUGGCAGACUAGAGUGCGGGAGAAGAGGGCGGAAUUCCCGGUGUAGAGGUGAAAUUCGUAGAUAUCGGGAGGAACACCAGUAGCGAAGGCGGCUCUCUAGACCGACACUGACGCUCAGACGCGAAGGCGUGGGGAGCAAACAGGGAUUAGAUACCCUGGUAGUCCACGCAGUAAACGAUGGAUACUAGAUGUUGGGGGGCUUGACCCCCCCUUCAGCGUCGCAGCUAACGCAUUAAGUAUCCCCGCCUGGGGAUACGGUCGCAAGACUA